CAGCUGAUAUGUGAAAGAAGAAGACGACGUCGUCCCCGUGUCUGGUCCCCACGUGAAGGGAGCGCGCGAAGAAGCCUCGGCUCGGACGUAUCGACCUUGACUUUAAAGAGACGCACAACACGUUGAGAGAAAGUUCCCGCGUUGUUAUUUACACAUUAACCAUAGGAGCUGUUUGGAGGCAAGACUGAACAGGUUACUGGAGGUAAGAAGAGUGGAGUCACGCCUGAAAAACUGGCUUCAUUUCAUUAAAGGAUGGUUGGACGUGAGUCAGAUGAUUAGCAAAUUGAGGACACACAUUUUCCCACUUGUGACUAUUCGACUGUCUGUCUUUGUCUUUGCUUGGCUGCUGUCACCGCAGACAACCUCCUACCUAAUUAGAUUUUACACAGGCGUUACCCUGCGCGCGCCACUCAGCUGUAAAGUUUAUUUUCUCUAACUCGGAUCUUCCGUCUGCGACGCGUCGAACUCGACACCCUCUGCUUCGUGUUUUGAUUUGAAGUGUCCUUUUCUUUAGACGACUCCACUUCCCGUUUGGUGACGUGAUUCAAUUGUUUCAUACAGAUAUGUAUAAAUUGAUUUUUUUUUAAAAAGCUGGGAUUUCAAAAGUUAGAGAAUGUCUCAUCCGGUGAUAAUAUUCCACGCCAUCUUUGUGAUCAUUAUGCAACCUUCAGUAAUGGUGAGAGGUUAACCAUCCACCCUCUCUGGCCUCGUUCAAGGUGCUGGGACGCCGCGUGGAGCGCAGGAUUUUGGCCGCGUAGAAACGGAGGAGGUGGCGCCUCUCGCUGUUAAAGUCCAUGGAUUCUUCACGCUCGCCUCAGCCUCAGAGGAGACAGCCUGCUCGAAACACUCGCAAGUUGCCGUGACAGCGAGGCGCAGAACAUGACGCACCGCAGCGUAUGGAUCGGCCGAGCCACGCGCGUCGCCCCGCGCGGACGACGCGGCGCUCCUGUCCCCGGUGCGCACUGGGAGCCGAGCGUGGCGCACGGAGCAGCGGGUGGGACCAGAUGGAGGCUGUGGAGGCAGGAGGGCACGGCAGUGAUGUCGGCAGAGACCAAGGUUUGUGUCCCCUGACGACCGCCUGAAUCCUCUCCUCACGCUCUCCCUCUUCCUCUGGACGUGGAUCAUCGCUGGAUUUGCCUUCCAGUCGCAUAAUAUUUUCAUUUCCACUGUGCGUGAACCGCAGUGCGCGCGGAUAUGAGGUGUUGAUGAAAGCCGUCCCCACGGGGCUCAGGCUCAUCUUUGCGUGAAGCCUCUGCAGCUCAGACGCUUUCACCCCUAAACUGUAAGCCUGCGGACAAAGGCUGAUCUCAGGUGGAAAUCAACACACUCAUUUGACUUCUGAUGGAACGGGCAAAGUGCUGCUUUGUCUCGUGAAAGGCUUUCUGUUUCACGUGACCUUCUGAGUAUUACCUCAUGUUCCUUUAUCUGUUUCCAUAUCUGCAAAACACUUUACAUCAUCUCGGUUCUGUCAGCUGGCUCAUAGACGCCGCGGCGGCGUGUUGAUUGUUGCCCCUUCAAUAUAAAUAUGACGGAACAUCUGUUUUUUAAUCUUCCUUAACGAACCGUGAGAGUCUAGACCCGCGGUACAAAAGCUGGGCACAAGCUGUCGUCAGAAGCGAACAUAAACAAGUGGUUCGUCCUUUUGGGGGAAUGUGAAAUUUUAUUGUGGGGCUGAGUGACAUCAGAAGAUCACUAUCACUGAAGUCACAUCAUGGUCUGUGCGACCACGAGGUGGUGACCUCAGCCUUGCUCACCGUCAAGCCUGAAAUCAGAAAAAAACAGCUGUUGUAGAAGAUGCUGAAUAUUUAUUUAUGGGGAA
rnacentral:lncRNA from 1 species